AGUGAACGCUGGCGGUAGGCCUAACACAUGCAAGUCGAACGGCAGCACAGUAAGAGCUUGCUCUUACGGGUGGCGAGUGGCGGACGGGUGAGGAAUACAUCGGAAUCUACUUUUUCGUGGGGGAUAACGUAGGGAAACUUACGCUAAUACCGCAUACGACCUACGGGUGAAAGCAGGGGAUCUUCGGACCUUGCGCGAUUGAAUGAGCCGAUGUCGGAUUAGCUAGUUGGCGGGGUAAAGGCCCACCAAGGCGACGAUCCGUAGCUGGUCUGAGAGGAUGAUCAGCCACACUGGAACUGAGACACGGUCCAGACUCCUAAGGGAGGCAGCAGUGGGGAAUAUUGGACAAUGGGCGCAAGCCUGAUCCAGCCAUACCGCGUGGGUGAAGAAGGCCUUCGGGUUGUAAAGCCCUUUUGUUGGGAAAGAAAAGCAGCAGGUUAAUACCCCGCUGCUCUGACGGUACCCAAAGAAUAAGCACCGGCUAACUUCGUG
rnacentral:rRNA from 1 species